AAACCAGCACCUCAAGUGGUCAGGAGGAUUAUUGGGCCUAAAGCAUCCGUAGCCUGUUCUAUAAGUUUCCGGUUAAAUCCACUAGCUCAACUAGUGGGCUGCCGAAAAUACUGUAGAACUAGGGAGUGGGAGAGGUAGACGGUAUUCGGUAGGAAGGGGUAAAAUCCUUUGAUCUAUUGAGGACCACCUGUGGCGAAGGCGGUCUACCAGAACACGUUCGACGGUGAGGGAUGAAAGCUGGGGGAGCAAACCGAAUUAGAAACCCGGGUAGUCC
rnacentral:rRNA from 1 species